GACAUCACUAUGCGCAGGAAAAAGAGACCACCACAGAUAGCGCCACUAUCGGCGAGUGAAGAGCACAGAUCUCAUAUGAGAUAUGGCGCUCGGGCCCGAGUUGUAAUUUGUAGAGGAUGCUUUUGGCGAGGUGCCUUCUGAGUUUCCCUGGAACGGGACGCCAGAGAGGGUGAGAGCCCCGUAUAGUCGCACACCGAUCCUUUGUAAAGCUCCUUCGACGAGUCGAGUAGUUUGGGAAUGCUGCUCAAAAUGGGAGGUAUAUCUCUUCUAAAGCUAAAUAUAGGCCAGAGACCGAUAGCGCACAAGUAGAGUGAUCGAAAGAUGAAAAGCACUUUGAAAAGAGGGUUAAAUAGCACGUGAAAUUGUUGAAAGGGAAGCGCUUGUGACCAGACUUGUGCCGGGCUGAUCAUCCACCGUUCUCGGUGGUGCACUCGACCCGGCUCAGGCCAGCGUCGGUUCUCGCAGGGGGACAAAAGCUUCGGGAACGUGGCACCUUCGGGUGUGUUAUAGCCCGUUGCUUAAUACCCUUGUGGGGACCGAGGUUCGCGCUCUGCAAGGACGCUGGCAUAAUGGUCAUCAGCGACCCGUCUUGAAACACGGACCAAGGAGUCGAGGUUUUGCGCGAGUGUUUGGGUGUAAAACCCGCACGCGUAAUGAAAGUGAACGUAGGUGAGAGCUUCGGCGCAUCAUCGACCGAUCCUGAUGUAUUCGGAUGGAUUUGAGUAAGAGCGUAUAGCCUCGGACCCGAAAGAUGGUGAACUAUGCCUGAAUAGGGUGAAGCCAGAGGAAACUCUGGUGGAGGCUCGCAGCGGUUCUGACGUGCAAAUCGAUCGUCAAAUUUGGGCAUGGGGGCGAAAGACUAAUCGAACCAU
rnacentral:rRNA from 1 species